UUAAAGGGAAAAAGAAAACACCGAUUUCCAUUUCCAUUUUCUACAAAAUCAAGACUGUACUCCUUUGCAAAGUCUAGCAGGUCUUGGACCCAAGCCGGACUGAAAAGCAAGUUCAUCUGGGACCCUGCCCUCCAAGAAGAUCAUAGCAGCCUUAGACAGAAAAUUCCUGAAGAUUUUUAACCUCAGAGGCAGUGGAACCAGGCUUCAUCCAUCUAUGUCCCAUCUGAAGGUACCUUCACCUCCAGUCUUGGCUCAGGCAGGCCUGGGACCAAGAAGCCAGAGGCCCCUAUGGAGCAUCCAAAUGGACCAUGACUGUUUAGAGUUCCCAGGCAAGACCGGUUGGUGCUAUGGCCAUUUGGUGUGGGACCUCCCCUGUCCUUUCCACAAGUCUGUUUUUGUUUUUGUUUUGUUUGUUUGUUUUUUGUUUUUUAUUUCUCAGGAUAAAAAAGAAAAAGAAAAA
rnacentral:lncRNA from 1 species